rnacentral:rRNA from 1 species
AAUGAACGCUGGCGGCAUGCCUAAUACAUGCAAGUCGAGCGGACGGACGAGAAGCUUGCUUCGCUGCUGUUGGCGACGGACGGGUGAUUCACACGUAGAUGACCUACAUAUGAGGCUGAGAUAACUUCGGGAAACCGGAGAUCAUACCGGAUCAUAUUUUGAACCGCGUGGUUCAUAAGUGCUAACCCUUCUUGCUGUGCCUUAUACGUAGAUCCGCGCUGCAUUAGCUAGUUGGUAAGGUAACGGCUUACCAAGGCAACGAUGCAUAGCCGACCUGAGAGGGUGAUCGGCCACACUGGAACUGAGACACGGUCCAGACUCCUACGGGAGGCAGCAGUAGGGAAUCUUCCGCAAUGGGCGAAAGCCUGAUGGAGCAACGCCGCGUGAGUGAAGAAGGUCUUCGGAUCGUAAAGCUCUGUUAUUAGGGAAGAACAUAUGUGUAAGUAAAUGUGGCUAUCUUGACGGUACCUACUCAGAAAGCCACGGCUAACUACGUG